rnacentral:rRNA from 1 species
GACGAACGCUGGCGGCGUGCUUAACACAUGCAAGUCGAACGGAAAGGCCCUGCUUGCAGGGUACUCGAGUGGCGAACGGGUGAGUAACACGUGGGUGAUCUGCCCUGCACUUCGGGAUAAGCCUGGGAAACUGGGUCUAAUACCGGAUAGGAGCCAUUUUUAGUGUGAUGGUUGGAAAGUUUUUUCGGUGUAGGAUGAGCUCGCGGCCUAUCAGCUUGUUGGUGGGGUAAUGGCCUACCAAGGCGGCGACGGGUAGCCGGCCUGAGAGGGUGGACGGCCACAGUGGGACUGAGAUACGGCCCAGACUCCUACGGGAGGCAGCAGUGGGGAAUAUUGCACAAUGGGCGCAAGCCUGAUGCAGCGACGCCGCGUGGGGGAUGACGGCCUUCGGGUUGUAAACGCCUUUCGCUAGGGACGAAGCUUUUUGUGACAGUACCUAGAUAAGAAGCACCGGCUAACUACGUG